rnacentral:rRNA from 1 species
GCAAUACACUGACGGCGACCGGCGCACGGGUGAGUAACACGUAUGCAACCUGCCUUCUACUGAGGGAUAGCCCGGAGAAAUCCGGAUUAAUACCUCAUAAUACAGGGAUACCGCAUGGUAUUAUUUGUUAAAGAUUAAUUGGUAGAAGAUGGGCAUGCGUUCCAUUAUGGUAGUUGGAGAGGUAACGGCUCCCCAAGCCUUCGAUGGAUAGGGGUACUGAGAGGUAAGUCCCCCACACUGGAACUGAGACACGGUCCAGACUCCUACGGGAGGCAGCAGUGAGGAAUAUUGGUCAAUGGUCGAGAGACUGAACCAGCCAAGUCGCGUGAAGGAAGAAGGUAUUCAGUAUUGUAAACUUCUUUUUUUAGGGAAUAAAGUGAGGGACGUGUCCCUUUUUGUAUGUACCUGAAGAAUAAGCAUCGGCUAACUCCGUGCCAGCAGCCGCGGUAAUACGGAGGAUGCGAGCGUUAUCCGGAUUUAUUGGGUUUAAAGGGUGCGCAGGCGGACUUUUAAGUCAGCGGUGAAAUUUCCAUGCUCAACAUGGUAACUGCCGUUGAAACUGGGAGUCUUGAGAGGAAUAGAGGCAGGCGGAAUUCGUAGUGUAGCGGUGAAAUGCAUAGAUAUUACGAAGAACGCCGAUAGCGGAGGCAGCUUGCCAGGUUCC